rnacentral:rRNA from 1 species
UACGAAGGGGGCUAGCGUUGUUCGGAAUUACUGGGCGUAAAGCGCACGUAGGCGGUGGUCUUUGUCAGAGGUGAAAGCCCGGGGCUCAACCCCGGAACUGCCUUUGAAACUAGAUAGCUAGAAUCUUGGAGAGGUCAGUGGAAUUCCGAGUGUAGAGGUGAAAUUCGUAGAUAUUCGGAAGAACACCAGUGGCGAAGGCGACUGACUGGACAAGUAUUGACGCUGAGGCACGAAAGCGUGGGGAGCAAACAGG